rnacentral:rRNA from 1 species
AACGUAGGAGACAAACGUUAUCCGGAGUUACUGGGCGUAAAGGGCGUGCAGGUGGUCUGUUAAGUCUGGCGUGAAAGCUCUCGGCUAAACCGGGAGAGGUCGUUGGAUACUGGCGGACUAGAGGACGGUAGAGGCGUGUGGAAUUCCGGGUGUAGUGGCGAAAUGCGUAGAGAUCCGGAGGAACACCAGUGGCGAAGGCGGGUCUCUGGACAGUUCCUGACGCUGAGGCACGAAGGUCAGGGGAGCAAACGGG